rnacentral:rRNA from 1 species
GUGAGGAAUAUUGGUCAAUGGGCGGGAGCCUGAACCAGCCAAGUCGCGUGAAGGAAGAAGGAUCUAUGGUUCGUAAACUUCUUUUGCAGGGGAAUAAAGUGCAGGACGUGUCCUGUUUUGUAUGUACCCUGAGAAUAAGGAUCGGCUAACUCCGUGCCAGCAGCCGCGGUAAUACGGAGGAUCCGAGCGUUAUCCGGAUUUAUUGGGUUUAAAUGGUGCGUAGGUGGUUUGAUAAGUCAGCGGUGAAAGUUUGCAGCUUAACUGUAAAAAUGCCGUUGAAACUGUCGGACUUGAGUGUAAAUGAGGUAGGCGGAAUGCGUGGUGUAGCGGUGAAAUGCAUAGAUAUCACGCAGAACUCCGAUUGCGAAGGCAGCUUACUAAGCUACAACUGACACUGAAGCACGAAAGCGUGGGGAUCAAACAGGAUUAGAUACCCUGGUAGUCC